rnacentral:snRNA from 1 species
AUCGCUUCUCAGCCUUUUGGCUAAGAUCAAGUGUAGUUUCUCACACCAGAGAAACUAUUCAGUAUUUAUACAUGUGUGUCCUAUUUAUUUCACUUAAGAGUAUCGCCUCAAUGUGCAUCCACUUAGCUAUAAAUGUCUCUAAUUUCUCAUUUUUUAUGGCUGAGUAGU